rnacentral:miRNA from 1 species
CUCACUUUGUUGCCCAGGCUGGUCUUGAGCUCAACUCAUUCUCCUGCCUCAGCCCUGCAAAGUGCUGGGAU